GGACCCCUGGUGUAGUGGUUUGAAAACUGGACUAUGACUCUGGAGACCAGGGUUCAAGUCCCUGCUCAGCCA